rnacentral:rRNA from 1 species
CGUCCAAGCCUGGGAGCACCCUUCGGGGUGUGACUGCGUACCUUUUGUAUAAUGGGUCAGCGACUUAUAUUCUGUAGCAAGGUUAACCGAAUAGGGGAGCCGGAGGGAAACCGAGUCUUAACCGGGCGUUAAGUUGCAGGGUAUAGACCCGAAACCCGGUGAUCUAGCCAUGGGCAGGUUGAAGGUUGGGUAACACUAACUGGAGGACCGAACCGACUAAUGUUGAAAAAUUAGCGGAUGACCUGUGGCUGGGGGUGAAAGGCCAAUCAAACCGGGAGAUAGCUGGUUCUCCCCGAAAGCUAUUUAGGUAGCGCCUCGUGAAUUCAUCUCCGGGGGUAGAGCACUGUUUCGGCUAGGGGGCCAUCCCGGCUUACCAACCCGAUGCAAACUGCGAAUACCGGAGAAUGUUAUCACGGGAGACACACGGCGGGUGCUAACGUCCGUCGUGAAGAGGGAAACAACCCAGACCGCCAGCUAAGGUCCCAAAGUCAUGGUUAAGUGGGAAACGAUGUGGGAAGGCCCAGACAGCCAGGAUGUUGGCUUAGAAGCAGCCAUCAUUUAAAGAAAGCGUAAUAGCUCACUGGUCGAGUCGGCCUGCGCGGAAGAUGUAACGGGGCUAAACCAUGCACCGAAGCUGCGGCAGCG